rnacentral:pre_miRNA from 1 species
UACAUACUCCCUCCGUCCGAAAAUACUUGUCCUAGAGAUGAAUGUAUCUAGACUUAUUUUAGUUAUAGAUACAUCCAUUAUAUCCAUUUCUAGGACAAAUAUUUCCGGACGGAGGGAGUAUGAU